rnacentral:rRNA from 1 species
AGCGAACGCUGGCGGCAGGCCUAACACAUGCAAGUCGAACGAACCUUUCGGGGUUAGUGGCGGACGGGUGAGUAACACGUGGGAACGUGCCUUUAGGUUCGGAAUAACUCAGGGAAACUUGUGCUAAUACCGAAUGUGCCCUUCGGGGGAAAGAUUAAUCGCCUUUAGAGCGGCCCGCGUCUGAUUAGCUAGUUGGUUGAGGUAAUGGCUCACCAAGGCGACGAUCAGUAGCUGGUCUGAGAGGAUGAUCAGCCACAUUGGGACUGAGACACGGCCCAAACUCCUACGGGAGGCAGCAGUGGGGAAUCUUGCGCAAUGGGCGAAAGCCUGAUGCAGCCAUGCCGCGUGAAUGAUGAAGGUCUUAGGAUUGUAAAAUUCUUUCACCGGGGACGAUAAUGACGGUACCCGGAGAAGAAGCCCCGGCUAACUUCGUG